rnacentral:tRNA from 1 species
CAAAGUGUAGCUUAACUAAAGCCUCUCGCUUACACCGAGGAUAUACCUAUUAAACCUAGGUCACUUUGA